UGAUGAAUGAUAGCAGAAUUAUUCAUUUUUAAUCUUGCAGCUGCUAAAUGUUCUGACAAUCUGGUCUUCAAUUUCUCUUCGUUUCACCAAUAUAGAAACAUAUGACAUUAUAUUUGCAUUCAAGUCUGUAGACCACUCCUUCUUCUAAUGGAUCCUUUUUAAUGCCUCUUAUAACCAUCAGAUUGGACAACUGUUUUGUUUCUUGUUCCUCUUUCACUUUAUAUCUAUUCAAUAUGAAUUGUUUAUACGAAUUAUUUAAUAUUUUCUUUGUAUGUUUUAACUGUAUGUUGAUAACCCUACUGAGGAGGUCUAAUUUUCUUGGCAAAAUGCAUUUAGGGAGUAUGAAAAUAAAUUUGGAGUUACCUACCCUCCAUAAGUCAGAACACAAAGAAAAAUUGAUUUUUCGUCUAUUUUUCUACAAUGCAAUUAAAUAAUUUUCAGUAAAAAGAAGACGAACUUUUUAAACGUGACGCUUCU